CGGUUCUCUCCUCGAACGGUACUGGUUGUUGAUGGUGGCGGUGGUGGUGGUGAUGGUGAUGGUAGUAGUUGUGCCAGUGGGUACGCGCUCCCUACGAGGGCGAGAGAGAAUCGCAGGCAGAUUCGCGGGAUCCGGCUGGUCCAGCAGCGCGCGCGCGUCCCUGGAAGGUGUCGUUCGUGUUCCUUCGGGAGAAAAAUCGGGGAUAAAUUUUUCCGAAUUUCCAAUCUUAUUUGCCUUUUUGUUCCAAAAAAAACAAAAAAUAUAAAAACAAAUCAUUUUCGUCCUUCUCGUUGGGGAGCAGUAGGAAAUUAUAAAACCGUUGUUGUAUUCACGAAUCGUAAUUAUUUGUACGAUAGAUUUUUUUUUCUGUGUAACGUCAAAAGUAUAUCGUGAACAAGUAUAUAGUUACGAAUCGUAGAAAUACGAGAUUUCUAGACUGAGGAGAGAGAGAGAGAGAGAGAGAGAGUGUGUGUGUGUGUGUUUGUGUGGUACGCGAUGGAAGAAGUAUGUCAGUGAGCGGGCUUUGAUCAAAAGGUGAAAUCAAAAGAAAUGCUGCGGUGCUGUUUGGUGCCGAUUGUAAGAGGAAAGAUAGAGAAGAUAGAUAGAUAGAUAACUGUGCGAAGUGAAAAGAUCGAACGGUUUUGGUUAUCGAUGCGCAGGGAACGGUUAUUCUACUUCCUGCUAUCUAACAUUUUCAUGAAAACGAUCGUGACCAUUAGCGGAAGAAGAAGAAGGCUUCUUUUUCUUCGAAAAAACUCGAAGAGCAGUAACUCGAUCCGUGAUAAGGAAAUAAACGAGAAAAGGAAGAAGAAGAAGAAGAAGAAGAAUAAAAAAAAGGAAGAAGAUAGAAUUGUUAGUAAAUCGAAUCAACGAUAUGGAUGCCUUGGAAUUGCAAG
rnacentral:misc_RNA from 1 species